GUGGCCAUGUUUGAGAGGGGCACGUCCCUGAGUGUGUCCGUUCGCCGCGUUUGGGACGUAGGGCGGCCCUGUUUGAGGCGGGCACUUCCUUUGGCGCAUCUGUGGCCGCCAUGUUUGGGGGGGCGGGCGGCCACGUUUGAGAGGGUCACUGGCCUUGGUUCCUCUGUGUCCGUAGAGAGGACUGACGGCCGUGUUUAAGAGGGGUACUUUCUCGGGUCCUGAAUUAUCUGAACUUUACACUGUAAGUCUUCAGAAAGAGAUGAGGUGGCCUAGACACCCUUGGCCGGGCUGGAAGACAGGGCCCCAUUCUCUGUCCUGGUCUGGUGUUGGCUGCAAUCCAACUGCAUGGAGGCAGACUUCCUAUACAAGAGAAAUCCCCACUUUCCUUGAAGGGCAUUUGCCUGUGAAGGUCCCAGCGGCUGAUAUCCCUGCCUGGUUGUUUCCUAAGAAUCCAGAAGAUUCAGGUCAGUGCAU